rnacentral:rRNA from 1 species
CCUGCACCUGCCGGCGACCGGCGCAUGGGUGAGUAACACGUAUGGAACCUGCCCGCCACAGGGGGAUAACCCGGGGAAACCCGGCCUAAUACCCCAUGCCGCCCGGACCGGGCAUCCGGUCCGGGCGAAAGGAGGAAUCCGGUGGCGGCUGGGCAUGCGGCGCAUUAGCUUGACGGCGGGGUAACGGCCCACCGUGGCGACGAUGCGUAGGGGUUCUGAGAGGAAGGCCCCCCACACUGGAACUGAGACACGGUCCAGACUCCUACGGGAGGCAGCAG